rnacentral:rRNA from 1 species
GAUGAACGCUGGCGGCGUGCUUAACACAUGCAAGUCCAACGGAAAGGCCCAAGCUUGCUUGGGUACUCGAGUGGCGAACGGGUGAGUAACACGUGGGUGAUCUGCCCUGCACUUCGGGAUAAGCCUGGGAAACUGGGUCUAAUACUGGAUAGGACCACUUCUUGGAUGGUGUGGUGGAAAGUUUUUUCGGUGUGGGAUGAGCUCGCGGCCUAUCAGCUUGUUGGUGGGGUAAUGGCCUACCAAGGCGUCGACGGGUAGCCGGCCUGAGAGGGUGUACGGCCACAUUGGGACUGAGAUACGGCCCAGACUCCUACGGGAGGCAGCAGUGGGGAAUAUUGCACAAUGGGCGCAAGCCUGAUGCAGCGACGCCGCGUGGGGGAUGACGGCCUUCGGGUUGUAAACUCCUUUCGCUAGGGACGAAGCGUUUUUGUGACGGUACCUGGAGAAGAAGCACCGGCUAACUACGUG